rnacentral:rRNA from 1 species
UACAGAGGGGGCAAGCGUUAUUCGGAAUUAUUGGGCGUAAAGGGCGCGUAGGCGGCCUGGCAAGUGACGGGUGAAAGCCCUCGGCUCAACCGAGGAACUGCCUGUCAUACUGCCGGGCUUGAGUCCGGGAGAGGUGAGUGGAAUUCCCAGUGUAGCGGUGAAAUGCGUUGAUAUCGGGAGGAACACCAAUGGCGAAGGCAGCUCACUAGGCAAUUACUGACACUGAGGCGCGAAAGCGUGGGGAGCGAACAGG